rnacentral:rRNA from 1 species
CAGUCCUACGGGACGCAGCAGUGGGGGAUAUUGCACAAUGGGGGGAACCCUGAUGCAGCGACGCCGCGUGGGUGAAGGAGUAUUUCGGUAUGUAAAGCCCUAUCGGCAGGGAAGAAGCAAGACGGUACCUGACUAAGAAGCCCCGGCUAACUACGUGCCAGCAGCCGCGGUAAUACGUAGGGGGCGAGCGUUAUCCGGAUUCACUGGGUGUAAAGGGAGCGUAGACGGCCAAGCAAGCCAGGGGGGAAAGCCCGGGGCCCAACCCCCGGACUGCCCUUGGAACUGCUUGGCUGGGGUCGGGGGGG